rnacentral:tRNA from 1 species
CAAAGACUGAAGAUUGUCCCCCUUCUUAGAGUU